rnacentral:rRNA from 1 species
AUGAUGGUUCUAAUCCUAUGUCUUUGGAAGUCUCUAGGAGGGCUUGACAAAUCUCUAUUUGACUUCUAUAUGGAUCAUAAAGUGAAAUGUUUGAAGAGGAAGUUAUCAUGUGCUGGAAGAAGAAACAUGAAACUGAAGCUGUGUACUGAUUUCCCGUUUAUUCUAUUUCCCUGCUUCAAUGGCCACUUAAUUUUGGUCUGCACUCAAUUUUCUGAUGUGAAACCUCGGAUUCUUGCGUGGAGAGGUAACAAAGUUAAACAGUUUUCAGAGCUUGACAGAAACAAUAGCCGCUCUUAUGGAAAGAGGCCAUUGAAGAGAGCUUGUACUUCAUUUAGUUUUCAGAUUAGUUAG